UACGAAGGGUGCAAACGUUGCUCGGAAUUAUUGGGCGUAAAGCGCACGUAGGCGGCUUUGCAAGUCGGAUGUGAAAUCCCUCGGCUCAACCAAGGAAGUGCAUCCGAAACUGCAGAGCUUGAGUACCAAAGAGGAUCGCGGAAUUCCCGGUGUAGAGGUGAAAUUCGUAGAUAUCGGGAGGAACACCAGUGGCGAAGGCGGCGAUCUGGGCGGAUACUGACGCUGAGGUGCGAAAGCGUGGGGAGCAAACAGG
rnacentral:rRNA from 1 species